rnacentral:rRNA from 1 species
AUUGAACGCUGGCGGCAGGCCUAACACAUGCAAGUCGAGCGAGCGGCGGACGGGUGAGUAAUGUCUGGGAAUCUGCCCGAUGGAGGGGGAUAACUACUGGAAACGGUAGCUAAUACCGCAUACCAUCCGAUGAGCCCAGAUUGGAUUAGCUUGUUGGUGGGGUAAAGGCUCACCAAGGCGACGAUCCAUAGCUGGUCUGAGAGGAUGAUCAGCCACACUGGAACUGAGACACGGCCCAGACUCCUACGGGAGGCAGCAGUGGGGAAUAUUGCGCAAUGGGCGAAAGCCUGAUGCAGCCAUGCCGCGUGUAUGAAGAAGGUCUUCGGGUUGUAAAGCACUUUCAGCUGGGAGGCGUUACCUACAGAAGAAGCACCGGCUAACUCCGUGCCAGCAGCCGCGGUAAUUC